rnacentral:rRNA from 1 species
CCGGGUGAGUAACACGUGACUAACCUACCCUCGAGUGUGGAAUAACAUCGGGAAACCGAUGCUAAUACCGCAUAACAUCGCAAGAUCAAAGGAGCAAUCCGCUUGAGGAGGGGGUCGCGGCUGAUUAGCUAGUUGGCGGGGUAACGGCCCACCAAGGCGAAGAUCGGUAGCCGGCCUGAGAGGGCGCACGGCCACACUGGAACUGAAACACGGUCCAGACUCCUACGGGAGGCAGCAGUGGGGAAUUUUGCGCAAUGGGGGAAACCCUGACGCAGCAACGCCGCGUGGAGGAUGAAGCCCCUUGGGGCGUAAACUCCUUUCGACCAAGACGAUAAUGACGGUACUGGUGGAAGAAGCACCGGCUAACUCUGUGCCAGCAGCCGCGG